rnacentral:rRNA from 1 species
UACGUAGGGGGGCUAGCGUUGUCCGGAUUUAUUGGGCGUAAAGAGCGUGUAGGCGGCCAUGUAGGUCCGGUGUGAAAAACUCGAGGCUUAACCUCGAGAUGUCAUCGGAAACCAUUUGGCUAGAGUCCGGAAGAGGAGAGUGGAAUUCCUGGUGUAGCGGUGAAAUGCGCAGAUAUCAGGAGGAACACCAAUUGCGAAGGCAGCUCGCUGGGACGUUACUGACGCUGAGACGCGAAAGCGUGGGGAGCAAACAGG